CCUACGGGAUGCAGCAGUAGGGAAUAUUGCUCAAUGGGGGAAACUCUGAAGCAGCAACGCCGCGUGGAGGAUGAAGGUUUUCGGAUUGUAAACUCCUUUUGUUAGAGAAGAUAAUGACGGUAUCUCACGAAUAAGCUCCGGCUCAGUCCGUGCCAGCAGCCGCGGUCAUACGGAGGGUGCAAGCGUUACUCGGAAUCACUGGGCGUAAAGGGCGCGUAGGCGGGAUAGCAAGUCAGAUGUGAAAUCCUAUGGCUUAACCAUAGAACUGCAUUUGAAACCGGUAUUCUAGAGUAUGGGAGAGGUAGGUGGAAUUCGUGGUGUAGGGGUAAAAUCCGUAGAGAUCAAGAGGAAUACUCAGUGCGAAGGCGACCUGCUAGAACAUAACUGACGCUGAGGCGCGAAAGCGUGGGGAGCAAACAGGAUUAGAUACCCGUGUAGUC
rnacentral:rRNA from 1 species